CAGGUCUAUUACAAUAUAAUUGAAGUGUUUUAUUGUCAUUUCCCCGCCUUAAAGCAUUUGACAUAUAGCUAUCUAGUUCCAUUCCAUAGUAAGUCAGAGAUGCUUGGUCUUCGAAAU
rnacentral:snoRNA from 1 species